CAACAGCUUUACAGGGGCAGGAGAACCUGGCAGUACAGAUGAACCCAGUCAUACUCAACUCAGCCUCAGACAGUCUCAGUCUGGACUCGACAGAAAUCUCAUUACAGAGUUCUACCACCGGUACUGACCAGGAUAUAACAGAACAGAUGAUAACAUCCACCCCUGAGAUGGACACACAGACAGAAAUUUCUUCCACACCAUUUGAACAUGAGACCAUUGCCUCCUCUGUGAUCGACGGAGACCAGGA